UACGUAGGUGGCAAGCGUUGUCCGGAUUUACUGGGCGUAAAGAGCGCGCAGGCGGUCGUAUAAGUCGAAUGUGAAAGCCCCCGGCUCAACUGGGGAGGGUCAUUCGAUACUGUUCGACUCGAAGGCAGGAGAGGGAAGUGGAAUUCCGGGUGUAGUGGUGGAAUGCGUAGAUAUCCGGAGGAACACCAGUGGCGAAGGCGACUUUCUGGCCUGUUCUUGACGCUGAGGCGCGAAAGCUAGGGGAGCAAACGGG
rnacentral:rRNA from 1 species